rnacentral:tRNA from 1 species
AAGGAUUUAAGUUAAAUUAAACUGUCAGCCUUCAAAGUUGAGAAUAGGGAGGUAUUCCUAAGCCUUA